UCCACUGCACGUCUUUUCUAUUGGCUCCUGUGAUGGUUGACUUGGAUGUAUUAGUGAAAUGCUCUAUGUGUGAUGAUUGACAGACUUUGAAAUGGUCUUUGAAGUUAUGAUUGGCUCAGUGUGAUAUUCUUUACCCCAACAGAGGAAAGGAGCCAAGGAGUGCUGAGGUCAGAUGGUUUCUCCCCUGCAUACAGAUAACUGGACCCUUGUCCAUAACAUGGAAGUGAAUUAUUGCCCCUUCUAAAACAAGGACUGUUGAAACAAGAGGAUGCGGUGGAUCUGCGAGCAGGACUGGACAUGCUGAAGAACAGUGCAUCAAGGUUGAUGCGCAUCUGCGUUGCGACCAAAGACUGAGAAGC